rnacentral:tRNA from 2 species
GGCCCGGUAGCUCAGUGGAUAGAGCGCCGCCGUCCUAAGGCGGGCGUCGUAGGUUCGAAUCCUACCCGGGUCACCA